GUCGCCCCGCCCCCCGUCGGCCCGCCCCCCGUCGGCCCGCCCCUCUGCGUGCCCGGGGCCGUCCCCCCGGCGCGCACUCUCGCGCGACUCGCUCCGGAGAUCGGCUCUGAGUCCUGGGCCUUCUUAAAAUCUUACUGGAUACUUCAGGUUGCCCUUGAACUCACUUUGUAGCCCAGGGUGGCCAGAGACUCAGAGUGAUCCUCAUGCCUCGGCUGGGAUUGCAGGUGUGCACCACUACAUCUGACUUUGUGAUUUCUUUAAGAAAUUCAAAUUCAUAUGAAUUUGAAGAAGUGGUAUUGGAAGGAGGGGACCCCAUUUAACUUCAUGUAGCCAUAAGGCAUUGGUUUUCAAGAGGUUUGGCUAUUUGUACCAUCUCUUCAAAACCCUUUAUAAUACUUAAAACAGUUACUCAAGUGAAAGAGCACUACCUGUUUGAAUAUUUUGAGUUUUACUUUUUGUUGUUGUUGUUGUUCUGGGGAUUGAGCACAUUGAACUGUCUCUUUAGUUCUUAUUUUUUUAUGUUUUUUUUUUUUUUUUUUUUUGGUACUGGGGUUCGAACUUGUGACCUUGUGUUUACCAGGCAGGUGCUUAUGCUGCUGAGCUAAAUGCCUGGCUUUUUAAAUUUUUUUAUUUGUUUACUUUUCACUUUUUGUUUUGAGACAGGAACUUGUCAACUCACCAAAUUUUCCAGGCUGGGUUCAAACUUGGGAUCCUCCUGCCUCAGUAUCCCAGAGUACUGGCAUUGCAGAUGUAUGCCACCACAUCAGGCUAUAUUUUGAGAUCUCUUAUGGGACAGGGAAAGAUAAGGAUUUUAUUAAUAAACUUAAAUGUUCACUCAAUUUGUUUCAGCUGAAGCUAUCCCUGAAAAAGUGAUUUUUAGUAGAGGCAGUGUAUCAUUGUUUUUCCUCAGUGAUGUUUACAUUCUCAGACUUAUGGGUGGGUAAACAAUGGUUGGUAGCAGGCAGGUCUGUUCCUCCUAGCGUCUGCAGGCAGGGUCAGAGUGUUAUGGUGCUGUUCUGCUUCAAGGCCUCCAUUUCGGUGACUGAACAUGUGUUCUGUGCACACAGCAGUUACUGACCGGAGGAAGGACAGAAUGCUGGGCAUGUUGUAAUGAGGUAGGGAGGCUUGGAUGUGUGAUUGUGUAGGGAAGGGCAGUGUUGCUUGUGCGUUAGGUCCCUACAUGAUUGGUGAUUCCCUCCCUGGCUGCCAUCUUCCAUGAAAUGCCCAUUUUACCCAUAGACAAAGCAAAAA